rnacentral:rRNA from 1 species
UACGUAGGGGGCUAGCGUUGUCCGGAUUUAUUGGGCGUAAAGAGCGCGUAGGUGGCUGUAUAAGUCCGUUGUGAAAGUCAAAGGCUCAACCUUUGAAAGCCGAUGGAUACUGUAGAGCUAGAGUACGGAAGAGGCGAGUGGAAUUCCUGGUGUAGCGGUGGAAUGCGCAGAUAUCAGGAGGAACACCAAUAGCGAAGGCAGCUCGCUGGGACGUUACUGACACUGAGGCGCGAAAGCGUGGGGAGCGAACAGG